UCCCUCACCAAAGCCCCAGUCCACAGGUGAGCGGUGGGUAGGGAGUCUAGCUGUCCNNCCCCGAUGGCCAGGGGGGAUCCUCACUGGUCCCACAAUUAGCUAUAUGGUCAAGCAGAGUAGAGAUAUACCGGAAGCCAGAAAUUGAGAAGGGGGAAGAAAUGGAGAGAGCAGAGCCAGAAAGAGUGCCAUUUUGGUACUUGAGGCUUCACUCCCCUGUUGGUUAAGCCUGGAUCACUGGCUGGAUACCUCAGUUGUUUAGGUGUGUAGCUGCAGAGCCAAAAGUUGAGAGUUUGAUUCCAGGGGAUAGAACGAUUGUACUAGCUGACAGUAUUCUUUUUUUAGCUUCAUCCUGUUCUGUAUUUUUAUGUUUUAGGGUUUGGAUCCCUCAAUUAGACCAGAAGCCUGGAAAUUCCUCACCGGCUACUAUUCCUGGAGCAGUACUUGUGAUGAGAGACUCAUGGUUGACAGCAGGAAACGGAAAAGCUAUGAGUCCUUGUGUAACAUGUGUGAAAAGAUCCAGCCGCUGCUUGAGGCUGAGCAUCGGGGUUUCAUGGAGGUCCAAAAUCUCAUCAGUAAGUAGCCAGCAAGAUCAAGCGUAGAGGAAACGUCUACAGGCAACGACAUGAGCUAUGCUUUGUGCUUCUAGGGUGUAACUCAGGAAUGGGCACCUUGAGGUCCUGAUGCGGAACCUGGCUCUUUGCACUUUGCUUCGUUUGCAUGGAAUGAGUUGGCCUUCUAACUGUGAAAACUCCAGUCAAGACCACCGAGCAAUAGCGUGCCACUAGAGAUGGGCAUGUACUGGAAAACAGGUGGUUUGUGAUGGUUCGUGGCUACUCAUGAACCAUGAACCACAAAUUAUCACGUAUCUCCCCCCCCUCCAAAAUGAACUCGUAUGCAGUUCGUUUUUGGGGGGUCUUGUGCUGGGGGGGGAAGGGAGACAGAAUGGAGCUGGCUGGAAGAGGUGCAAUGUGUUUUAGAACAGCCUGACUAGAAAAGGCAAUAUUCUCUUGGGAAUGACGAAGUGCUUAUUAUGCCUAUAUUCAAAUUGCCAUUCAGUUUCUUUUCCCCCCCACUUACAGAACAAAAAGGAUAUUAAAGGAGAUGGCCAAACUAAUGUCACAAAUCACUCUUGACGGGCAUAAAUCAACCCAACUGAACCUAGAAAAAGAUUUACUGCUUAGGUGGGAUCCAGUCUGGCCCUCCGGAAGCUAAUAGAUUUUUUCAAUUUUGAUAGAGAAUUCCUUAUACAAGUCACAUACCAGGGGAGACGCUCCCCUUUAUUGCCCUCUCAUCUCCCGAGGCUUCAUAUAAAAUGAAAUCAUUUCCCACUUUUAUAGAAGCGCUACACUUUUUCAAGGGCAGCCAGGGUUUUGAUAUGCCUCACUUCCUCCCCUAGAUUUUAAAAGAUCCUGCCUUGUUUUAAAUUGCUCCACUUUUUAUCCUUUCCCUCUCUCUUUUAAUAUGUACAAUCAGUUUCCAGUCUUCAUGGUUUAAACUCCAAACUUGUCAAUGAAUUGACAUAUGCAGAUGAGCGCUUUCAGAUUCUCUGCUUUAUCCAGAAGAGACGUUUGAAACCUGGAGGCAGCGAGGCUCAUCGGA
rnacentral:lncRNA from 1 species